CCUACGGGUGGCAGCAGUGAGGAAUAUUGGUCAAUGGGCGGGAGCCUGAACCAGCCAAGCCGCGUGAAGGAAGAAGGCGCCAGGCGUCGUAAGCUUCUUUUGUCGGGGAACAAAGGGCGCCACGUGUGGCGUUGUGAGUGUACCCGAAGAAAAAGCAUCGGGUAACUCCGUGCCAGCAGCCGCGGUAAUACGGAGGAUGAGAGCGUUAUCCGGGUUUAUUGGGUUUAAGGGGUGGGUAGGCGGGCCGGAAAGUCAGCGGUAAAAGCCCGGGGCUAAACCCCGGCGAGCCGUUGAAACUGUCGGACUAGAGACGGCGAGAAGUACGCGGAAUGCGCGGUGUAGCGGUGAAAUGCAUAGAUAUCGCGAAGAACUCCGAUUGCGAAGGCAGCGUACCGGCGCCGGACUGAUGCUGAGGCACGAAAGCGUGGGUAUCGAACAGGAUUAGAUACCCGGGUAGUC
rnacentral:rRNA from 1 species